rnacentral:rRNA from 1 species
UGAGAUGUUGGGUUAAGUCCCGUAACGAGCGCAACCCUUGUCCCUUAGUUACCAGCACGUUAUGGUGGGCACUCUAAGGAGACUGCCGGUGACAAACCGGAGGAAGGUGGGGAUGACGUCAAGUCAUCAUGGCCCUUACGGCCAGGGCUACACACGUGCUACAAUGGUCGGUACAAAGGGUUGCCAAGCCGCGAGGUGGAGCUAAUCCCAUAAAACCGAUCGUAGUCCGGAUCGCAGUCUGCAACUCGACUGCGUGAAGUCGGAAUCGCUAGUAAUCGUGAAUCAGAAUGUCACGGUGAAUACGUUCCCGGGCCUUGUACACACCGCCCGUCACACCAUGGGAGUGGGUUGCUCCAGAAGUAGCUAGUCUAACCGCAAGGGGGACGGUUACCACGGAGUGAUUCAUGACUGGGGUGAAGUCGUAACAAGGUAGCCGU